GGACAAAUGUUUAUCUCUCUGGUUGUGAAGGGAUGGGAAUAUCAGAAAUUAAAUCUGGAAGCCUGGACAACUCUAUCCCUGACUUCUGUGUUCUUUUCUCUAAUUUAAAAGACUGUCACAGCAUCUUCAGAAUUUUUUCAGCAACUAGAGCUUGUAUAAAGAGGAGCUCUAUGAUUGGUCAAAAAGAGUGGAUGGUGCAAGAGAUUUUGGCUUCCCUUAACAUGGAGCACGAACUUUUAC
rnacentral:misc_RNA from 1 species